UGCAUAGGUGGACAUGUGUGUGUAGGUGGACAUGUGUGUGUAGGUGGACAUGUGUGUGUAGGUGGACAUGUGUGUGUAGGUGGACAUGUGUGUGUAGGUGGACAUGUGUGUGUAGGUGGACAUGUGUGUGUAGGUGGACAUGUGUGUGUAGGUGGACAUGUGUGUGCAGGUGGACAUGUGUGUGUAGGUGGAUAUGUGUGCGUAGAUG